rnacentral:tRNA from 1 species
ACCUGGCUGGCUCAGUCAGUGGAGCACGUGACUCUUGACCUCGAGGUUGUGAGUUCGAGCCCCACGUUGGGUG